rnacentral:lncRNA from 1 species
UAAAACUUGAGCCAGAACCUUGCCUUUGAUUUUCUAGAUGAGUGAGAUCAAAGUUACUUCAGUCGUUCAUAAAAUGAGACAUCAUUACUCAGAGUUCUCUUUCCUAGGAAAAUAAGUAUAGGAAAGACAAGCAUUAGAGAUGAAGUCCCAGUAACAUGAUCACUAUAGCUGUUACACAAAAAUUUUGCUGGGACAUUGGCAGCAUUCAGGUAGUAAUACAAAUAUGUAUAUAAUGUGACUGCUGGAAGCCUAGCCCAGUCCCUUGACAAGAUGUUUCUUGGAAGGAGGAAGACACAAAAUUCAACACUGGUGGAAGUUGUGGACAUUGCUAAAGGAGAAAGGUCCCAAUCCUAGAACAACUGUAGCACAUAUAGACUCCUGCAUGCCUUUGAGUUCAGUGGAUCUCUUCAAAGGCCUGCAGUCU